AACUUCCUCAGUAUCGCAAAAAAGUUUUUACGCUCUCUUGAGAUGGAUUUUUGAAAUGUUGAAAGAGAGUUUAUGCACAAAAUGGGUAAUGGAAACCCAUUUGUCAAAUAAAUAAUGACGUAGCAAACAUUUAACUCACAUGACUGAUCAGCUGUUUCCACUCUCAGUGUCUUCUGGCCUCUACAGAUAGAAUGAAGCAUUGCCAAUACUAGCUAACAUGAAAGAACAAUGACUACUUGCCCAAUUUAAACAAAUUCCUGAAGACCUCUCUCCAUUUUUCUCUCGUCAAGUCAAUAUAACUAUUUGUUUUGUUUCUGGUUGGCAUUCUCUACUUCGUCUACUCUGUGUACUGGCUCAUUAUUUAAGCCUAUACCAUUAUCUGCUGAUGAAACUAUGCAUUGCAUAGCUUACUUUAUUCAAACCAGUUGAUGGAUGCAUUUUUCUUUUUGCAACAUUUCAAAAGUUCGCUUAAAGUUAUCUUGCGAAUCUAAUGGAAACACAGCUAUAGACUCACAGUAUUUCGGACACUUACUGCACUACAUUUGCCUUGAUGCCUUAAUACCUGCACACACAAACAAAGAUGAUUACUUGCCUCAUCUCUGGGAGAAGUUCUUACGAUUCAAAACAAGGUGGAUUGACGCCUGUUGGACCAAUCAUUUGAGAGAAAUCAUGAAAAUAUUACCAAGAGACACAGUGUAGAGAGCACUGUGAGCACUCACGGUAAUCCCACCAUGUGCUGUUGUCAACUCACAGUAUCUCGGACAGCUUAUUAUUCAUUAUUGUGUAAUACAAUAAUGAAUAAUAAGUCAUUAAAUUAACAACAGAAGAUGGAACAAGAAACAUCAGAUACAGGUAAAACAAAAAUGAAGUGUCUCAGUUUUAUGUGUAUGUGUGUGUGUGUGUGUGUGUGUGUGAAAAUUAAAUAUUUAACAAAACUAUUUUGAUAAUCUAUAUACAGUUUAUUCCUUUUUCAGACAGUGUCUCGUCUCCCUCACACAGUCAGGCCAUACUUGUGGCACAAACACAAGUAUGCUCCCCAUCUGGAGCAUCACUGAGGUCGACACAGACGAGCUGAAACCACAGCUCACACAAUUCACACUGUACCCAGUCAUCCACCUCUGCCUCAGACCCUGGUGGUGUAAUGUUCCUGCACACUGCACAGUGGUCGCUCACUGUUUUCAGCAAGAGAAUUUCUCUCUCUUUCUCUUCUCUUUUUUUCUCUAUCUUGGCCCUUUUUUCUCUCUUUAUUUCUUGCUCUUCUUUCCUCUUUUUAUUCAUCUCUUGUUUUUUCUUCUCUGCAGCAUUCAAUUUUUGCAGGAUGGCAUUAUAUUUGUCACUGGUGACAUCCCUUGCUUGCAGGGGCACCCAUCGUCCGCCCCUUCCUGUGGUGUCAAAGGUGGGUGUGACGAGGAUCGUGGCAAGGGAAGGAGGGAUGAGACCACUGUCAACUAGAUAAUUUCCGUUGUCCCUUUUACAUGUAGGGCAAGUUUUUGGUGUCACAGGAGAAGUUGAUGAGGUUUCUGGGGAUGGAGCUGCAGUGGAGGAGCAAAGAACCAUCUCCUUGGACUUUGGCUUAUCACCAAACCCUGUUUCAUCACAUUUCCAUACAAGGUCUGGACUAGAACUUUUUUCAUGGUUCAAGUGGUCAUAUUUCAGGCAGACUGAAGCAUCCAUCUCCUCUGCUGCUAUUGGAGGCUCAUUUACAUGAAAUACAGUGAUCACAUGGAGCAUGACAUCCUUUCAUCUUUUCUCACCCUGUGUUAUAUUCUUGUUCCUGUCUUCUUGUUCAACAUUCAGACGAGCUGUAGACAACAUUAAUGGAUGAAAACUUUGUCCUCUCAGUUUCACUGAGCCUCCUUAUUGAAGUUUGUGCCUAAUCAUGAGGAACGGAGGAAAGCAGAAAAACAACUCAGUGUCAUAGAGCUUUCUUAGACCAGCGAGAUUAGAGUGUAAAACUAAUGUGAUGGGUUAUUUUUCUGCCUGAUAUGAUGUCUGCCUCUCUCUCAGGGAGCCUCUCACCAGACAAAUGGUUCCUUUGCAUAAAACGUAGCCUUCUGCAACUUUAUGUUACACUAGAAAGCGAGUAUGAAUGGCCAAAUGCCAAGCACUGCAUAUAUUAGCAUUCAGUAAAAUCUGCCCUGGCUGCCGCAUACAUGGAACAUUAGUCUAUUCUUUAUCCAACAUCAUCUUAAACACCAUUUAUCACAGUGGAAGAAUAAUAGACUUAUGUUAGUUUCUCAAAUGCCCUUCUGGGUCCAGACCUGUGUGCCGAGCCCCGGAGAGAGGAUAGAGGAAGUCUAUUUGCUCUAAUUAAACUGAUUACAAUGUGCUCACUCUAUGGGGGCUGAAAUAAAUAAAUAAUUGCAGCCUUGUAGGCACAGGUCAGUAGAUAAUGGGUAGGUUUUGCUGAUAAUUAGCUCUAAAUGGUUUAAGUACAGUACCUUUCACUGAGAGUCAAGCCAGGCAUGAUGCCUUGUUUUACUGCAGGAUUUAGAACUGUGUGAUGCUCAACACCUGAUAUGACUGUUAUCAGCCUAUUGAAUAGGUGUUAUCGUCACACAUCUGUCCCAAAUAUAUGGGCUAGUAGGGGCCUACUAAACCUACUGGUAGGUUCAGGAGGCUGUUAUCACUCAUUUAUUUCAGUGAGCCAAUGCUGGUGGAGCCCAGUAGGUGCAGAAGGCCUGAUAUCAGACAUACAGUAUGCUGUCACGUGACUGUCAAGUUUUUUUCUGUGAAAACAAAACAAAAAAA